rfam:Pan troglodytes isolate Yerkes chimp pedigree #C0471 (Clint) chromosome 1, whole genome shotgun sequence.
AUCACAUAGGGAUCUUAUUACAAUGCAGAUUCUGAUUCAGCAGGAUUGAAGUGGGGCCCAGGAUUCUGAAUUUUUAGCAAGCUCCCAGGUGAUGUGGA